UCUCCGUUGGUGAACCAGCGGAGGGAUCAUUGCUGGAACGCGCUUCGGCGCACCCAGAAACCCUUUGUGAACUUAUACCUAUUGUUGCCUCGGCGCAGGCCGGCCUCUUCACUGAGGCCCCCUGGAGACAGGGAGCAGCCCGCCGGCGGCCAACCAAACUCUUGUUUUUAGUGUCUCUUCUGAGUUAAACAAACAAAUGAAUCAAAACUUUCAACAACGGAUCUCUUGGUUCUGGCAUCGAUGAAGAACGCAGC
rnacentral:misc_RNA from 1 species